rnacentral:tRNA from 3 species
CGGGGCGUGGCUCAGUUUGGUAGAGCACCUCGCUUGGGACGAGGGGGUCGCAGGUUCAAAUCCUGCCGCUCCGACCA